GCGGCCUAUCAGCUUGUUGGUGGGGUAAUGGCCUACCAAGGCGACGACGGGUAGCCGGCCUGAGAGGGCGACCGGCCACACUGGGACUGAGACACGGCCCAGACUCCUACGGGAGGCAGCAGUGGGGAAUCUUGCGCAAUGGGCGAAAGCCUGACGCAGCGACGCCGCGUGAGGGAUGACGGCCUUCGGGUUGUAAACCUCUUUCAGCCCUGACGAAGCGAAAGUGACGGUAGGGGCAGAAGAAGCACCGGCCAGCUACGUGCCAGCAGCCGCGGUAAUACGUAGGGUGCAAGCGUUGUCCGGAAUUAUUGGGCGUAAAGAGCUCGUAGGUGGCCUGUCGCGUCGGCUGUGAAAACUCGGAGCUCAACUCCGAGCUUGCAGUCGAUACGGGCAGGCUAGAGUGCGGCAGGGGAGACUGGAAUUCCUGGUGUAGCGGUGAAAUGCGCAGAUAUCAGGAGGAACACCGGUGGCGAAGGCGGGUCUCUGGGCCGAUACUGACACUGAGGAGCGAAAGCGUGGGGAGCGAACAGGAUUAGAUACCCUGGUAGUCCACGCCGUAAACGUUGGGCGCUAGGUGUGGGAUCCCUUCCACGGGUUCCGUGCCGCAGCUAACGCAUUAAGCGCCCCGCCUGGGGAGUACGG
rnacentral:rRNA from 1 species